rnacentral:lncRNA from 1 species
CCAUAACCCUGACUUCAGAAGUAGACUUCAGAAUAGUGACCUGAUACAUCAGUCCUGGAGUAUUGGAUGAUGCCAUUCUCAAAGAAGAAGUGGAGGAAGAAGAGGAAGAGGAGAAAAAAGAGAAGAGGAAGACGUAUAAAUAUGAAUGCCCAUUCAAAGUAAAAAGAUGCUCAAUCUUUCUAACAAGGCUCUGCAAGGUAGCAAAUCAUUGUAGCACUGAGUCACAGAGACUGUAUUCUUGAAGUCCUGGCAGAGGCAAAUUUCUCAUUAACAUUGAUCUGAGAGACAUCUGCGAUGAGCCUGUACAACGAGCCGACCUGCCGAGCUGACCCGAAGCUGAUGAGUGGUUCCGAAGGGAGGCAGGCUGGGAAUGAAGACACCACAGUGAAAUGAGCCCAUCUCUGUUUUCAGAACAUGACUUCGUAACUCCAGACUUAUAUGUUGAAUUUCUUGAGGCUUAAAUGUAUAAGCUCUUCCACUAUAUCGUCCUCUACAAUUUGAAAGUGAGUUGGAGAAUUGAGUCAACUUGCAGGAGAAUUCAAGCUCCUUAAACCCAUAGUGCUUGGAUAAUACUGGAACUUAGAUAAUCAUGAAAUUUGUUUUAAUCCCUUAUUUAGUUUUGUAGAGACUCUCUGGCCUCCGAUGCAACAAUGGCUAAUUCUUCUUUUCCAAGUUCUGGUUUUUUUUUUUUUUAAAGAAAAAAAGAAUGCCUAGGGUUUGUGGUAAAAAAUCAUAUUGAAAAAGGAAUUUAAAAUAGCCCUCUUUCUCCGACAAUAUAUAUCUGGCCUAGAGUUUAUUGCUGGAAAACACUCUACAGUGAAUGGCAAAGUAAUAAAGGGAAAAAAAUACUGGAAGUAGGUGACGUU